GACGAACGCUGGCGGCGCGCCUAACACAUGCAAGUCGAACGGAGCUGAGAGAAGCUUGCUUUUCUUAGCUUAGUGGCGAACGGGUGAGUAACGCGUGAGUAACCUGCCCUGGAGUGGGGGACAACAGUUGGAAACGACUGCUAAUACCGCAUAAGCCCACGAUCCGGCAUCGGCUUGAGGGAAAAGGAUUUGUUCGCUUCAGGAUGGACUCGCGUCCAAUUAGCUAGUGGGUGUGGUAACGGCCCACCAAGGCGUCGACUGGUAGCCGGGCGGUGAGGUUGGGCCGCCACAUUGGGGCGGAGCCGCGGUCCAGACUCCUACGGGAGGCAGCAGUGGGGGAUAUUGCCCAAUGGGGUAAACCCUGAUGCCGCGACGCCGCGUGGAGGAAGAAGGUUUUCGGAUUGUAAACUCCUGUCGUUAGGGACGAUAAUGACGGUACCUAACAAGAAAGCACCGGCUAACUACGUG
rnacentral:rRNA from 1 species